GAAUAUUGACUUAUGUUAUCAUUAUAAUUACGCCAGUCCAUUGGCAUAAUAUCACAUUUAUUUCCCCUAUAUGUCUCUGUAUCCUACAGAAUGCCAGCGUUGGUGUUGCUGCUUCUUCCACCUUAAGUGAAGAAAACAAAGAAUCAACAGAAUCAGUGUUUGAAAUCCCUGAGUUAUUCCCGACUCAGGAGACAGAAGAAACAGAGAAACAUGAGAUUGAGAUAGAAGAUUUGCCAAUUGAGGACACUGAAUCUCAGAUCUGUUCAGACUCUUCACAAAGUGAUUCUGCCUCGGCUAGCGCUAGGCCGCAUGUCACUUUAAUACACGUGAAAGAAGCUGAAUAUGCCAAUAUUGUUCUGUCACUAGACCAGAAGGCACAAGAGUGGAUAAUAGAACCUAUUGAUGAUACCAGGGAGUCCAAAAGCGACAAACCUAUUAUCGCCAAGGAGAUCUGUACAAGGCCACGUGUUCACUUUAAUACACGUGAAAGAAGCCGAAGAACGCAAAGGACCUGUGCCACCAGUAAUUUUAAUUACCAAGGGAAAAGAGGUUUUGUAUAAAUAUGACCUUGAUUCUUCUUCAAGAGAAGAAAGUUUCCCUCUGGCACGGCCGGUGCUGAGGC